GUGCCAGCUCGCCGCGGUAAUACGGAGGGUGCAAGCGUUGUCCGGAAUCACUGGGCGUAAAGGGUGCGCAGGCGGGGCAGCAAGUCGGAGGUGAAAGCCCGUGGCUCAACCACGGAAGCGCCUUCGAUACUGCUGCUCUUGAGUCCCGGAGAGGCUGUCGGAAUUCGGGGUGUAGCGGUGAAAUGCGUAGAUAUCACGAGGAACACCAGAGGCGAAAGCGGACAGCUGGACGGGUACUGACGCUCAGGCACGAAAGCGUGGGGAGCAAACAGGAUUAGAUACCGAGUAGUCC
rnacentral:rRNA from 1 species